rnacentral:rRNA from 1 species
UACGAAGGGUGCAAACGUUGCUCGGAAUUAUUGGGCGUAAAGCGCACGUAGGCGGCAUUGCAAGUCGGAUGUGAAAUCUUAUGGCUUAACCAUAAAAGUGCAUCCGAAACUGCAGUGCUUGAGUACUUAAGAGGAUCGCGGAAUUCCCGGUGUAGAGGUGAAAUUCGUAGAUAUCGGGAGGAACACCAGUGGCGAAGGCGGCGAUCUGGGAAGAUACUGACGCUGAGGUGCGAAAGCGUGAGGAGCAAACAGG